GCCCUCGCUCUUCCGCACAGUCGUUUUCCUCUAUUCUCCCCUUUUCUUCGUUUUGCAUCUCUAUUUCGCUCUUUGAACACCCAGUGAGAGGGACAGAAAUCCUUCGAUAUAACUUCGCGAAUCUCGCGAGUAGCGGCUGUUUAGCAGCGACCCACAACGAAAGGAAGAAGAACAGGCGGAGGAAAAGGCAGAAAAAGCUGGAAACGAGGCGUGACACGUAGGUCGUUCGCUUCGAAAGAUCUUAAAACAAUAAAGCUGUACGCUGACGACUAAAUAUAAUGCGUGCUGGUUUCAUAACGAACAACACGUGGACGAUAAAUUUCCAUUGGAGGAGAAAGAGAGAGGUUUUCGAUACGAUUAUUGCAUCCUUACAUCGGUAUGCAGCGAAUGGAACUGAAUGGAAGAAUACAAUUGGCGAGGCACCAAGAGGUAAUUUGAUGGAAAAGGAAAGAAAAUGUUUCUGCGAAACCCUUGCUUUCUUUUAUUUUUGUGUAUUAUUUUUUAAUUUGCGUAUUAAGGAGAUUAAAUGCUAAGGAAAAAGUUGUUGUCCUCGAAUUGAUAUUAUACCAUAUUAUUAGUUUCAGUAUGAAGCAACCAUAAAUUGAGAAAUAGAGAAAUAUAAUAAUGGCAUAACAUAUACGUAUAAGGCAUGUACAUAUAAAUAGUUCUUAUUUUGGAAUUAAUUAUUAAUAAAUUUAUAUUACCAUU